AAGUCGUAACAAGGUUUCCGUAGGUGAACCUGCGGAAGGAUCAUUAACACUUUUUGAAAGCAUCCAAUAUCAACAAAUCACAACCAAACGGUCAACUAUCUCCUCCCUAUUUCGCACACCGGAGACGGUACGAGUAGGCUAACAUGUCAAUAACAAGCUCAAGCAAUUGCGCAUGUUAUUUUCAAACACAAGAUAACCCCUUUUAAUUAUAUUAUUCAUUUAAUAUAAACGAACAACUCUUCGAAUUUGCCUUUCAUUCAUUUAUUUUGAAUGAAGAACAAAAACGAACUAAACUAAAAUAUACAUUCGAUAUAUUUUUAUUUUACGAAAUAAUAUAUAUUUAUAAGAACAACUCUUAGCAAUGGAUAUCUUGGUUCUC
rnacentral:misc_RNA from 1 species